rnacentral:rRNA from 1 species
GAUGAACGCUGGCGGCGUGCCUAAUACAUGCAAGUCGAGCGAACAGACGAGGAGCUUGCUCCUUCGACGUUAGCGGCGGACGGGUGAGUAACACGUAGGUAACCUACCUAUAAGACUGGGAUAACUUCGGGAAACCGGAGCUAAUACCGGAUAAUAUUUCGAACCGCAUGGUUCGAUAGUGAAAGAUGGCUUUGCUAUCACUUAUAGAUGGACCUGCGCCGUAUUAGCUAGUUGGUAAGGUAACGGCUUACCAAGGCAACGAUACGUAGCCGACCUGAGAGGGUGAUCGGCCACACUGGAGCUGAGACACGGUCCAGACUCCUACGGGAGGCAGCAGUAGGGAAUCUUCCGCAAUGGGCGAAAGCCUGACGGAGCAACGCCGCGUGAGGGAUGAAGGUCUUCGGAUCGUAAAACUCUGUUAUUAGGGAAGAACAAACGUGUAAGUAACUGUGCACGUCUUGACGGUACCUAAUCAGAAAGACACGGCUAACUACGUG